rnacentral:lncRNA from 1 species
AUGGAGGGUCAAAAAUUUUCAGGGCUGUUAUGUAAUCCGAUAUUACCAUAAGGAAGAAAAAGGAUACUGUUGCAUCAUUCAGAUGGUGUGGAAAUAAGUGGGUUCAAGGAUGAGAGAAUUGACAUGUUUCAAUUCAUCAUUCUAAUAUAAUUUGUUAGACUUGGCCCCCAUACUGCUUCGGCAGCUCCACGUACGGUAUUCUUUACCUGGAAGCCCCCACCUCCGAGUUUCC